CGACCGCUAACAGCAACUGUGGAACAGUGCAGUGCCCUUUUUUGGAGCAACGUACGAGUAGUGCCCAUGGAUUAUGACCCCGCGACCCCAAUCUACGUGGCGGUCCGCAAUUCGCUACUUCAUACUGACUGGCGUCCGGCAUCGUCCCGAAUUUGGCCACAAUCUGCUCUCGGGACCCCUAUAGGGCUCCCUAACCUGCUCCAUCUCCGCCAUCGUCAAUGUACUGCGCAUCCACCCAGGCCAGGACUGCACUUACUUACGGGAAGGAGUAUUUGCAAGAUGGAACCUGGGAACUGGAAGACGACGAAGAGGAAGCGUGGGAAUCCGGCGGCAAUGGCUGGGAUGUAAGUCCAACAUUGCUGGUGCCAGAGUUGCCACUGCUUGCUUAUAAGGGAAUCAUGUGUGUUGCCUUUUUGCCUUUUCCGACGUCCUCCUCCGACUGUACUCCCGAUCCCAGGACUGAACUUACGGGAAGGAGUGCUUCCAAGAUGGGAGACGAAGAAGAAGAAGCCGCUGAAUCCGGCGGCAAUGGCUGGGAUUGUCGGACUGUCCGCGUCGCAUUGAACUGGUCCGAUGAGGCUGCUAUUGCACACACAGUGAGGGAACUCCCAUACGGGAACUCGGAAGUACUGCUACAGUACAGGUAAGGUGGCCAUUGCUUAUGUGCGUGCGCCGUUGUUGUCAACUUCUAAGCCAGCUGUACUCCAACCUACAUGGAGUUUGAAAGUAGUCAGCUGGCGAACUACAAUUGAAGUUUAGACGUUAUAUGCCGCGGCUUGGUCAGCUUUUUCAGUUUCACAAUGCAUUGCACUCAGCACCGCUUCUCGGAAUAUCUUGUCAGGAUAGCUGUGGAACGCAUCCUCCCCAGUGGGGGAACGGCAAAUAUGCUGUUCAUUUUUUAGGCUUGCUUUUAUGGUACGUACAAAUCCCCAUUGAAAAGACAUAGUGGAGACCAGAAACUGCAAAUAGAUGUUGGGAACCGCGAAGACCACCCUUCCUUGUCAAGUUCCCUGAGGGUGUGGAGGGGGGGGGGGGACCGGAGGAGGGACAUUCCUGCACUGCUUAAAGCAGGAUUCACAGGAGAGUUCAGAAAUUGCUUGUACAUUUGUACCAGUUGUAACCGACAAACGCAUUCUCAUUGAGCUUUGACUUGAGGCACGUCGGCAAGUCGCUUUGCAUCGCUGACGUCUUGUCGUGAUUCUGUGAAUGGUAUUUUGUGCGAGUUUGCAUCGCACGCAGAAUCGCAGGUCGUGUCGCAUUGCGCAGCACACUGCCAAAUUGCUUCUGUGAAUCCCACGUGAAUGGGAAUUCCAAUGGGAAUGUAAUCCAUUGCCAACAGGUGUAUUCCCGAGCUGCGCAUCAUACUGCGAAAUUGCUCCUGUGCACGCAAAUGGAUUUCAUUGCUCUUCAGUAGUUUGGGAAAUUCUCGAUUAUGAUAAUUCUGCGUGUGUGUGUACACCAGCCCUGAACAUACAUGUAGGUGACCCAUUCGUGGUGUCUCAUAGCCUACCUCACGACCUUAUGCUUUCUUUCUGUAU